rnacentral:rRNA from 2 species
GAGCAGCAGUGGGAAUAUUGCACAAUGGGCGAAAGCCUGAUGCAGCGACGCCGCGUGAGGGAUGACGGCCUUCGGGUUGUAAACCUCUUUCAGCAGGGACGAAGCGAGAGUGACGGUACCUGCAGAAGAAGCACCGGCCAACUACGUGCCAGCAGCCGCGGUAAUACGUAGGGUGCGAGCGUUGUCCGGAAUUACUGGGCGUAAAGAGCUCGUAGGCGGUUUGUCGCGUCGUCCGUGAAAACUUGGGGCUCAACCCCAAGCUUGCGGGCGAUACGGGCAGACUUGAGUACUGCAGGGGAGACUGGAAUUCCUGGUGUAGCGGUGAAAUGCGCAGAUAUCAGGAGGAACACCGGUGGCGAAGGCGGGUCUCUGGGCAGUAACUGACGCUGAGGAGCGAAAGCGUGGGUAGCGAACAGGAUUAGAUACCCUGGUAGUCCACGCCGUAAACGGUGGCGCUAGGUGUGGGUUUCCUUCCACGGGAUCCGUGCCGUAGCUAACGCAUUAAGCGCCCCGCCUGGGGAGUACGGCCGCAAGGCUAAAACUCAAAGGAAUUGACGGGGCCCGCACAAGCGCGAGCAUGU